rnacentral:rRNA from 1 species
GACGAACGCUGGCGGCGUGCUUAACACAUGCAAGUCGAACGAACUCGACCUUCGGGUCAUAUGAGUGAGUGGCGAACGGGUGAGUAACACGUGAGAAAUUUGCCCCGAAGUUCGGAAUAACCCAGGGAAACUUGGGCUAAUACCGAAUACCUUCAUCAGAUCGAAUGAUCAGUUGAAGAAAGAUUUAUCGCUUUGGGAUGGUCUCGCGGCCUAUCAGCUUGUUGGUGAGGUAAUGGCUCACCAAGGCAUUGACGGGUAGCUAGUCUGAGAGGACGAUUAGCCACACUGGAACUGAGAUACGGUCCAGACUCCUACGGGAGGCAGCAGUCGGGAAUAUUGCACAAUGGACGAAAGUCUGAUGCAGCGACGCCGCGUGGGGGAUGAAGGCCUUAGGGUCGUAAACCCCUUUCAGUAGGGACGAAAAUGACGGUACCUACAGAAGAAGCCCCGGCCAACUACG